UACGGGGGGAGCAAGCGUUGUUCGGAUUUACUGGGCGUAAAGGGCGGGUAGGCGGCCACCGCAAGUCAGUUGUGAAAUCUCUGGGCUUAACCCAGAAAGGUCAACUGAUACUGCGGGGCUAGAGUGCAGAAGGGGCAACUGGAAUUCUCGGUGUAGCGGUGAAAUGCGUAGAUAUCGAGAGGAACACCUGCGGCGAAGGCGGGUUGCCGGGCUGACACUGACGCUGAACUGCGAAAGCUAGGGGAGCGAACGGG
rnacentral:rRNA from 1 species